GAGUGGAGUCGACUUAACUUACGAAUACUACGACUACUACUACCCAGAGUCGACAGAAGUCCCGGAGCGGGAAACAACAGCAGAGUCGACAGAAGUCCCGGAGCCGGAAACAACAGCAGAGUUGACAGAAGUCCUGGAGCCGGAAACAACAACAGACAUUUCACAGAAAGAAACUACUGAGGGGAAGAAUCAAAAAGACCCUGGUGCCUUCGUGACGUCCUCUUCCUCUGCUGUUAACCACGACCUCUUCCAUGUGAUCUAUGUUCUCUUCAUUGUGUGCAUGUUGGAAAUCACAAAGCAUUUUAAAUCAUGAUUCAUGCGAUGAUUCUGUGGAAAUGUAUACUCUUACAUUGCUCUGCCAAUUUUUGUGUACUGCAGUGCC